AGCUUGCUCUGAUUGAUAAACAUUUGAGUGAGUGGCGGACGGGGUGAGUAACACGUGGGUAACCCUGCCCUAAAGUGGGGGAUAACAUUUGGUAAACAGAUGCUAAUACCGCAUGAACCUAACACCGCAUGGUGUAGGGUUGAAAGAUGGUUUCGGCUAUCACUUUAGGAUGGACCCGCGGUGCAUUAGUUAGUUGGUGAGGUAAAGGCUCACCAAGACCGUGAUGCAUAGCCGACCUGAGAGGGUAAUCGGCCACACUGGGACUGAGACACGGCCCCAGACUCCUACGGGAGGCAGCAGUAGGGAAUCUUCCACAAUGGACGAAAGUCUGAUGGAGCAACGCCGCGUGAGUGAAGAAGGUUUUCGGAUCGUAAAACUCUGUUGUUGGAGAAGAAUGUAUCUGAUAGUAACUGAUCAGGUAGUGACGGUAUCCAACCAGAAAGCCACGGCUAACUACGUG
rnacentral:rRNA from 1 species